GCUCAGGAUGAACGCUGGCGGCGUGCCUAAUACAUGCAAGUCGAACGCACAGCGAAAGGUGCUUGCACCUUUCAAGUGAGUGGCGAACGGGUGAGUAACACGUGGACAACCUGCCUCAAGGCUGGGGAUAACAUUUGGAAACAGAUGCUAAUACCGAAUAAAACUUAGUGUCGCAUGACACAAAGUUAAAAGGCGCUUCGGCGUCACCUAGAGAUGGAUCCGCGGUGCAUUAGUUAGUUGGUGGGGUAAAGGCCUACCAAGACAAUGAUGCAUAGCCGAGUUGAGAGACUGAUCGGCCACAUUGGGACUGAGACACGGCCCAAACUCCUACGGGAGGCUGCAGUAGGGAAUCUUCCACAAUGGGCGAAAGCCUGAUGGAGCAACGCCGCGUGUGUGAUGAAGGCUUUCGGGUCGUAAAGCACUGUUGUAUGGGAAGAACAGCUAGAAUAGGAAAUGAUUUUAGUUUGACGGUACCAUACCAGAAAGGGACGGCUAAAUACGUGCCAGCAGCCGCGGUAAUACGUAUGUCCCGAGCGUUAUCCGGAUUUAUUGGGCGUAAAGCGAGCGCAGACGGUUKAUUAAGUCUGAUGUGAAAGCCCGGAGCUCAACUCCGGAAUGGCAUUGGAAACUGGUUAACUUGAGUGCAGUAGAGGUAAGUGGAACUCCAUGUGUAGCGGUGGAAUGCGUAGAUAUAUGGAAGAACACCAGUGGCGAAGGCGGCUUACUGGACUGCAACUGACGUUGAGGCUCGAAAGUGUGGGUAGCAAACAGGAUUAGA
rnacentral:rRNA from 1 species